rnacentral:rRNA from 1 species
GAUGAACGCUAGCUACAGGCUUAACACAUGCAAGUCGAACGAGAAUCAACGGAUUGAGGAUUCGUCCAAAUGAAGUUGAGGAAAGUGGCGGACGGGUGAGUAACGCGUGAGGAACCUGCCUCGGAGUGGGGAAUAACAGUUGGAAACAGCUGCUAAUACCGCAUAAUGCAACGGAAUCGCAUGACUCUGUUGCCAAAGAUUUAUCGCUCUGAGAUGGCCUCGCGUCUGAUUAGCUAGUUGGCGGGGUAACGGCCCACCAAGGCGACGAUCAGUAGCCGGACUGAGAGGUUGGCCGGCCACAUUGGGACUGAGACACGGCCCAG